CAGAGCUUUCCCUUCGGGGACAAAGUGACAGGUGGUGCAUGGUUGUCGUCAGCUCGUGUCGUGAGAUGUUGGGUUAAGUCCCGCAACGAGCGCAACCCUUGAUUUUAGUUGCCAGCAUUUAGUUGGGCACUCUAAAGUGACUGCCGGUGCAAGCCGGAGGAAGGUGGGGAUGACGUCAAAUCAUCAUGCCCCUUAUGACCUGGGCUACACACGUGCUACAAUGGAUAGUACAAAGGGUCGCGAAGCCGCGAGGUGGAGCUAAUCCCAUAAAACUAUUCUCAGUUCGGAUUGUAGGCUGCAACUCGCCUACAUGAAGCCGGAAUCGCUAGUAAUCGUGGAUCAGCAUGCCACGGUGAAUACGUUCCCGGGCCUUGUACACACCGCCCGUCACACCACGAGAGUUUGUAACACCCGAAGUCGGUAGGGUAACCUUUAUGGAGCCAGCCGCCGAAGGUGGGACAGAUAAUUGGGGUGAAGUCGUAACAAGGUAGCCGUAUCGGAAGGUGCGGCUGGAUCACCUCCUUU
rnacentral:rRNA from 1 species